GGGAAACCGGAGCACCCGGAGGAAACCCACGCGGACACGGGGAGAACAUGCAAACUCCACACAGAAAGGCCCUCGCCGGCCCCGGGGCUCGAACUCAGGACCUUCUUGCUGUGAGGCGACAGCGCUAACCACUACACCACCGUGCCGCCCGGUGUUAUUUAUAUAGUGAAAAUAUGUAACACUAUCAUUGCACACAGGUAGACUUUUAUUCAACUAAUCAUGUGACAUUUGAUAGUAAAUAGUUUUCAGUAAAAACAAAUUUUGGGGGUCAAUAGUAAUCAGGGUGAGUACUUGCACAAUUAAAUUUUUAAAAGAAUUACACAUCUUAUAUAAGUAAUUUUGCAAACUUUACCAAUUUUUUUUUAAUUAACUUGCCCCAAUUUCAGUAUUCUGGCUUUUUGUGCUGAUUUAUGACCAUUCCAGUUAAAUCAAUUUCAGUUACAGGUAAGAUUAAGACGUGUGGAAUAGUUGAAAGGGGUAGGGGGUUAUGGUUAUGCAAGCUACUGUAUGUAAAGUCACAGUGGUAAUCAUUGUUCAUAGUGAGAAGUAUAAUCGUUUUUAAAAAAAAUAUAUAUGAUAGGAAAACCAUUUAAUGACUUGAGAUUUCUCAUGUUGAAUUUGGUCCAACACAGUCACCAUUAUUAUCCAGAGUCCUGAGCUUGUAUGCGUUCUCGACAUAUUUCUCUGAGUUUAGUGACUGUUGCCAUGGAGAGACUCCCAGGCUCCGUAAAGAUAUUCUGAGGCGAGAUAAGGUCACACAUCAGUAGGAUAUCAACUGUAUGCUGUGAACAAGACUUAAUUAAAAUGCACAGCCAAUGAAAAGUUUGCAUCAUUCAUAACUAACCGUUAUCAGCAUAAAUGACAAACUUUAGGUUGGUUUUAGAAGGACUAUGGCUGUUACCUGCAUGAAUGCGUGACAGUUUUCCACAAACUCCCCAUGCGUGAUUUGUUUGAAACAUUCAUAGAUGGCUGGAAAGUUUUGCGCCUGCAGGAUUAGUUUCUGAUGAUGAUGAAUCAAUGUAAGGGCCACACGGAACAGGAUCUUCGAGCCCUCGUAGAACAGACAAUCCCAUAUUCGCAGCACUGUCUGGCAAGAGGAAGGACAUCAAUGUAAAGGCAAAUAAACCACCUUGAGACCACCAUGCCCCACAUCACAUUGUGUUGAGUCAUGGCCUGCCACACUGCAGGCACCUUAGUCUUCACCAACUCUCCAAGAACUUCCUGGUCUGUCUUUAGACCCAGCAUGGCCGGUGUGUAGUAAUCUGGGUUACAGACGAGCAUUUUACAUUUGCAUCUAAUCACAGAGGAAUAUUACAAUGUUUUGAACCUGUGUGCAAUUAUUACUUGACAGAAUGUCAACAUAUUUUCCUGGACCAAGAAAAGAACAGAAAACCCAUUUCAUAAAAUCUAAAUGGUGUCCUGCUGAAUAAAAUCAUAAUGGACUUUGUCAAGAUUUUAUAGUCAUAAGACUUAGACUUGCUUUAAAAGCGAGUUUUUGGUAGAAAUGUCUUUGAAAUACAAUGUGGCAAUUGUCUGGAGUAAAUCAAUCACUCAUAUUACAAAUGUGAUGGAAUUAAUUAGGUUCAAAGACACUUGUGUUCCUUUAAAACUAGAUGGCCUUUCAAUUUCAUAAAAUUGGUGAAAUUUAGUUCCCACUGAAGUUGACAGUGAUGCGUUUCUGUAAUAUCUCCAAAAAAAAAAAAAACACCCAGGCCAUUCUGUAGCUGGGAAGUUAUUUAAUUUGAGGGGAUUCCUGAGCAUAUAAUAUGCAUGAAAUUGCUCGCUUCAUGCAGUCAAGCAGACAGAGGAAGUCCAUGUGCGCAUGCUUACCUGCUUCUUCUUUUGGGUUUUACAGCAGCUGGCAUCCAGUGUUGCAUUACUGCCAUCUACAGGUUUACCUUGACUGUGCACUGACAGUUCCAUCAUUCUGUUGCUAAACGAACAGCUGAUCAUGCCGAGAUUUGUAUCCCACAAUACCUUGUACGAACAGGGAAAGCCUACCAUGUGAUGCAUGACCUAGUAUCUUGAAUUGGGUCAUGGUGAAGCAGGAAAAAAUAGUGGAGAAUUUAGGGCCACGUUAAAAAAAAUAAAAUAGUAAGUCUAUAAUUUGGAUGCAGUAGCUUUUGGUCCACUAAACAAAAAUAAUUGGGUGUCAGGGAAAGUUCUUUUUAUGACCUAUACUUAAAAUCUGAAUGGCAGUCUACCUUUAACUCUUUAUCAGAGGGCCCCCCCCCAAAAAAAGCUGUAGUUGUACAAUCUGUUUCUCUCUUGGCUGGGUCACUCUUGAUAAAGAAACUUCAGUCUCCCUGAGGGUUUUUUUUUUUUAUAAAACACCUGGUUAAAUAAAGGAUGAGGAUCUCUGUAUGGACAGGUGUGAAUUGUUCACCCAGCAGGGGCUUCACACCCCUCCAAGUUUCUAUGGCCCUGUAAGUACAGGGUCAAGAUACUAUACAUACAGAAACUCAGUAGUGUCCUGACUAAUCUUAUUAUAGUUAUUAUACUUGCAGCACUAAAAUAAUUCACCCGUUUAUACUGACUGAAAAUCUCCAAGUUGAUUAUCAUUCCACUGGUGGAAUGGAAUGCCAGUGUGUGGUGAGAAAGUUAACUAUGGGUUUAAGGGAUUUAAAAAAAACAAAACACUGACCAGGUAAGAUUCUACCAAGCAAUGCGUCCAUUAACCAGAAGGACUUUUCUUCAUCUUUAGUUAUGAUAAGCAGGUAUCCUGCGAUAAAGUUCAUUCCCUUGAAAACAGGAAAAAAAAAGCCACAGUAAGUUGACACUACAAAUAUUUACAGUGGAGCAAGUUUUGCCACAUUAUUGAUUUAGGAAAUACUGUUAAGGCUGAAUGACUAGAAACCUAUUAAGAAUGAUGUAAAUACUUUCUUGAAUGCAACCAAUAUGCAAAAAUAAACAUAGGAUUAGUGUACUAGCAUUGUACCUGACAGUAUCCAACAUCCUUAUUAUGGUGUCCAUAUGCCAAGAGAACAUUACACAGAGCCUUCAGUAAACAGGGCUGGGAGGUGUCAUGGAACUGAAUGUUGUCUGGGAAAGUUCUGUGCAAGUCUGGUAGGUGACAUGACUGCGUCAGUGUUGGCUUCAACUAAAAUGACUCCGAUGCUUGGCUGAUUACAACAAUGUUGCUCAUCUGAAAGAGAAAAGGAGGAGACUGACCAGUGCGUAUUGUCGCUUCCAGUGUGGGGUCAUGGUGAACCUUGAGGAGAGAGUGGUAAUAACCACUGUUCAUCUCCAGAUACCGCUGGGCUCCACUGGCAGCCAUCCAGAUCAGAGUACGGUGCUUGCUGGGGAUGCCUUUCCUGACAUACCUCUUCACUGCCAAUAAUGAACAUACUGCCACUCAGUAAUGAGAAAAUGUGUUUACGUGACCAUUAAAAAUAUAUUUAAAAAAAAAAAACUUAACAAAAUGGAGCUCAUUGUGGGAGUGUGCCAAGCUUACCUUUCAGAUUCUUAUCCACUUUGUUGUUCUCUUUUAAAAGCUUUGACCACUUUUCUGAUCUUCGAGCAAGCACUGGUAAAUACUGAGACAUCAUUUCCUCAUAGGUUUCAUGGUUAAAAUCUUCAGAAUGCUCAAAUCCAUACUUGUCUACUCUAUAGGUAAGAAAAAUCAGAGGUCCCAGAUAUUUUGACACCUAUGGUUUAGUCAAACCUUGAAAAGAAAAGCAUGUUUUAUAAGAAUGAUAAGAAUUUAUCAUUAUAAAAGUUCUCUUAUACAGGCCAAAAACUGA